GCCCAAGAUUGAAAGCUGGCGUCUUCGGCGUCCGCAUUGUAAUCUCAAGAAGUGUUUUCCGCUUCGGACCAUGCCUAAGUCCCUUGGAAAAGGGCAUCAUAGAGGGUGAUAAUCCCGUACAUGGCAUGGAGCGCCCGAAGCUUUGUGAUACGCUUUCUAAGAGUCGAGUUGUUUGGGAAUGCAGCUCAAAAUGGGUGGUAAAUGCCAUCUAAGGCUAAAUAUUGGGGAGAGACCGAUAGCGAACAAGUACAGUGAUGGAAAGAUGAAAAGAACUUUGAAAAGAGAGUUAAACAGUACGUGAAAUUGCCAAAAGGGAAGGGUAGGAGGUCAGAGAUGCGGCCUGGGAUUCAGCCUUGCUUUUGCUUGGUGUUUUUCCCAGAUUGCAGGCCAACGUCGGUUUUGGGCACUGGAGAAGGGUAGGAGGAACGUGGCACCUCUCGGGGUGUGUUAUAGCCUCCUACUGGAUACAGCGACCGAGACCGAGGACAGCAGCGUACUCGCAAGAGCGGGCCUUCGGGCACCUUUACGCUUAGGGCGUUGGCAUAAUGGCCCUCUACCACCCGUCUUGA
rnacentral:rRNA from 1 species